rnacentral:rRNA from 1 species
CAUAUCAAUAAGCGGAGGAAAAGAAACCAACAGGGAUUGCCUUAGUAACGGCGAGUGAAGCGGCAAAAGCUCAAAUUUGAAAUCUGGCGUCUUCGGCGUCCGAGUUGUAAUUUGAAGAAGGCUACUUUGGGGCUGGAGUUUGUCUAAGUUCCUUGGAACAGGACGUCACAGAGGGUGAGAAUCCCGUGAGAUAAGCUUCCCAGUUCUAUGUAAAGUGCUUUCGAAGAGUCGAGUUGUUUGGGAAUGCAGCUCUAAGUGGGUGGUAAAUUCCAUCUAAAGCUAAAUAUUGGCGAGAGACCGAUAGCGAACAAGUACAGUGAUGGAAAGAUGAAAAGAACUUUGAAAAGAGAGUGAAAAAGUACGUGAAAUUGUUGAAAGGGAAGGGCUUGAGAUCAGACAUGGUAUUUUGCAAACCUUCUCUCUCGUGGAGGGGGCCCCUUGCAGUUUACUGGGCCAGCAUCAGUUUGGGCGGUAGGAUAAUGACUAAGGAAUGUGACUUGCCUUCGGGGAAGUGUUAUAGCCUUGGUUGAUACUGCCAGCCUAGACUGAGGACCGCGUCUUUGACAAGGAUGUUGGCAUAAUGAUCUUAAGCCACCCGUCUUGAAACACGGACC